CCGCCGCUCUUCUCCCCGACUUUCGCCAUGGUGUUUGCUGCUAAGCGUCUAUACGGAAACGGAAAUAGUUUCUUAGUCUGAACCGGUCCUUAUGCUUUUACUUCCGGGGUCGCAAUGAUCUUUAAAAAUAUUAAAAAAAAUUUUUUUUAUAUAUAUAGACUAGGUUUUUAACUAGGUUAAGUAAAUAAAUAACGUAGUGAGCUAUAAAGUAAUACAUGAUGUGGAAAGACUAGAACAGAAUAAAAGGAGGUGAAGAGGAGUAGAUUACACCUUUAAAUAGGGUUCUCAGGAAAGGCUUAAUUGAAAAAGUUAUGUUAAGCAGAUUUGAAGAAUGUAGGGGCUUUAAACUCUGCAGUUGUCUGGAAGGAAGAACUGCUCAUCUGGGAAAAGCUAGUUAUCUGGUAGAAAAGCUGUUCAAGCUGAACAGCUAGCUCAAAGGCUCCUAGUCAGCGACAAGCCCGGCAUGUUCAAGGAACACCACAGAGGCCAGUGUAGACGGAGUUAGAUGAUGAAGGAGGAAAAUAAGGGAUGGGGGUGGGAGGCAGAUUGUGUAGAAUUUUGAAAGGACUUUGGCUUAUGCGAACUGUGGAGCCCCUGGAGGAUUUUGAGAAAAGAAAUGACAUGACCUAACUUACUUUUUGAAAGCAUCACUCAGAUGCUUUUGAGAAUAGACUAUGAGAGUGGGCAAGUGGAAGGAGAGGAGAAAUGAUAGUUGUUUGAACCAGGGUAGUUCAAAGGGAGAUGAUAAGCGAUCCGAUUCUUUUGAAAGGUAGAAUACCUGAUGAUUGAAUGGAAGGCUUGAGAGAAAGAAGAGUCAAGGAUGACUCCAAGGCUUUUGACAUGAGCAUCUGAAAGGAUGCAUUACCAUCAAUUGAGAUGGAGACGGUGGCAGGUCGAACAGAUUUGAGAGGUGGUCAUGGUUCCUUGAUGCCUAUUGUCUUCAGUUUUGGAGCUUCACGGCAAUUCUGAAAACACAAGAAGAUAAUAAUAUGAAAAUAUGAGAGAAACUUGGAGCUUGGCAAUAUAGAGAAGGUGAAGGCAAAGAGAAAGGAAAGGCAUCGAAAGGGGAAAAGAGGCAAAAGGACACACUCUGUACCUGACUGCAUUUCGAAACACCUGGGCUAGUCUGACCCACCCCUCCACAGGCUAUGUCACCAGGACACUGAAAAGGAAGUUGCUACUGACUGGAAGCCGGUAGUUCUGUGCUGAGCUUAGGUGCACUUAAACCAACAUGGAACCCUGAAGGCCAGACUGUAGCGGGUUGUCUCAGAACCUUCUUGAAUGAGAGGAAUCGGUCAAACUGGAUUGCUGUCUAAAAUGACCUUUUGUUGAGAGAAUUGAUUCAAGGAGAUCAAAAUGGAUGACACCAUGUCCUUCCCAGAUCCAGCUGGCCUGAAGCCUAUGUAGUGAGGUUGGCAGUGUCGUGAAAAGAAGACUCAGGAGACCAGAUUGUCACUUGGAUUCUGCUCUGUUAUCAUGGGCAAAACGUUUAACUUAACUCUUUAAUUUCUUGUCUUCUAAAUAUCAUACGCUGUUAUGAAGAGGAAAUUUAUAUAAUGGAUUUGGAAACAUCUGGGAAGAUCAGAAAAUAUAUAAUAAUUUACACAAAAACCUAGUUUGACUAAUAUAUACCCAUACAUAUAUUGACUAUAAAUGCAUGUAUCGUAUAUAUGUACCCUGCAUGUGUGUAGGUACAUACAUAUAUGUGUAUUGUAUGUAGCUAAAUAUAUUUAUAAAAAGAAUGUGUGUAUACAUGUAGGAGGUAUACAGGUGAAGACAAUUCUUUCUGAAAACAUCAUAUACAUUUAUAAAAACUUCUCCCCUCUCUCACUGAGAAUAAUAGCUUACAGGCAGAAAGAAUAAAGACCCAGGACUCUAUUGAUAAUCUUUUAAUUCCUGAAAUUCUUAAUUGCUGAGGAGAGGUUUGUGUUUCUUAGUUCCCAUGCACAUUUCAUUAAAAAGAAGAGUUUGAGAUGAUACUCUAAUUAAAGCGUAUUUAUAAUGCACUCAUCCUUAUCUAAUAAUGUACCUGAUUAAAUACUUUGCCAACAGUUCCAUUGUCCCUUGUCUCAUUUGUACUCUGAAUGGAAGCAAGGCAUCAAAACCUUCUUGUAAACAUUCUAAGAGAAAUAAUUGAUGAAAACAAUUACAAAAUAUGCAAGAUUCUGAAUAAAGGAAAAUCUAGUUUGUCACAAAACGUGUGCAUUUUUUAUUUACUCAGUUUCCAAAAUAACUGAUCUUUUCAUAAAUCCUUCCAGUUUUCCAAAAGCAACAAAUAAUUUAAUAUGUGACAUUAAGUUUUUUUUUUAAGUAGUGAAUUAUAAAGAAAUGGAAUAGUUUUCAUUUUUACCAAUGUAUUGUUCCAUUACAGGAUACAGUCUGAUCCAUGUUAUGAUCUGUGGCUGGUUAACUCAGAGGUUCCAAGUGCUAAUGGAGUCAAAGUAAUGCAUUUAGUGUUGUGAGGCUCGGAUUGGCUUAUUACUCUGACCACAGACACAUCCCUAAUCCUAACUAACCCUUCAUUUUAUCAAUUAUUGAUGUCGAGAACUGAGGCCAAGCAAUUCAGUGUUGUCUAAAUAAGGCAAAACUAUCUCCACCAAUGAGGGGAAAACAACUCAAAGUUCUUACCCUAUUUCCAAAUAUUUUCAGUAUCAUCCUUGGAUAGUGCAUUCAUAAUUAUGUCUUAUAUGCGCAAUGACUAAGCAUUGGGUUGCUAACCAAAAGGUCAGCAGUUCAGAUCUACCAGCCACUCCUUGGAAACUCUGUGGGGGAGUUCUGCUCUGUCCUAUACGGUUGCUAUGACUCAGAAUCGACUCGAUGGCAGUGGGUUCAGUUUUUCUGGUUUAUGCAUAGGGAAGGUUAUAAGUUGGAGAAUUCUAGGUAUUUUUAAUUAAACUCUUUCAAGAUCCUAAUAUGCCAGACAAAAAGCUGAAGUGCAGUGGAUUGGGAAUUAGGCACACUGAUCUGAAUCCCAAUUUUUCCAUUUACUAGCUUUGAGCACUUAGACAAGUCCUUUAACCUUUUUCAGCCUCAAUUUCCUCAUGGAACUGGAGAGUUAAAUACCUACUUCCCAGUUUAUUAUAAGGAUUAAAUGAGAUAAUGUGUGUAAAGCACUUAGCAUAGUACUUGUUAUUGUUAUGUGCUGUUGAGUCGUUUUUGACUUACACUGACCCCAUGUGACAGGGUAGAACUGCCCCAUAGGGUGUUCUUGGCUGUAAUCUUUAAGGAAGUAGAUCGCCAGGUCUUUCUUCCAUGGAGCCACUGGGUG